rnacentral:rRNA from 1 species
ACCAACAGGGAUUGCCCUAGUAACGGCGAGUGAAGCGGCAACAGCUCAAAUUUGAAAUCUGGCCUUUGGUCCGAAUUGUAAUUUGUAGAGGAUGCUUUUGGUGCGGUUCUUUCCGAGUUCCCUGGAACGGGACGCCUUAGAGGGUGAGAGCCCCGUACGGUUGGAUACCUAGCCUCUGUAAAGCUCCUUCGACGAGUCGAGUAGUUUGGGAAUGCUGCUCAAAAUGGGAGGUAAAUUUCUUCUAAAGCUAAAUACCGGCCAGAGACCGAUAGCGCACAAGUAGAGUGAUCGAAAGAUGAAAAGCACUUUGAAAAGAGGGUUAAAUAGCACGUGAAAUUGUUGAAAGGGAAGGGCUUAUGACCAGACUUUUUCCUGGCGGAUCAUCCGGUGUUCUCACCGGUGCACUUCGCCAGGUUUAGGCCAGCAUCGGUUUCUGUAGGGGGAUAAAAGCUUCAGGAAUGUGGCUCCUCCGGGAGUGUUAUAGCCUGUUGUAUAAUACCCUUAUAGGGACCGAGGUACGCGCUCUGCAAGGAUGCUGGCGUAAUGGUUAUCAGCCACCCGUCUUGAAACACGGACCAAGGAGUCGAACAUUUGUGCGAGUGUUUGGGUGUUAAACCCUCACGCGUAAUGAAAGUGAACGGAGGUGAGAGCCUUAGGGUGCAUCAUCGACCGAUCCUGAUGUCUUCGGAUGGAUUUGAGUAAGAGCAUAACUGUUCGGACCCGAAAGAUGGUGAACUAUGCGUGGAUAGGGUGAAGCCAGAGGAAACUCUGGUGGAGGCUCGCAGCGGUUCUGACGUGCAAAUCGAUCGUCAAAUCUGCGCAUGGGGGCGAAAGACUAAUCGA